rnacentral:rRNA from 1 species
GAUGAACGCUAGCGGCAGGCUUAACACAUGCAAGUCAGGGGUAACAUGAAAAAGCUUGCUUUUCUGAUGACGACCGGCGCACGGGUGCGUAACGCGUAUACAACCUACCUUUUAGCGGGGAAUAGCCCAGGGAAACUUGGAUUAAUGCCCCAUAGUAUAUAGACUUCUCCUGAAGUUUAUAUUAAACAUUUAUGGCUAUUAGAUGGGUAUGCGUCCUAUUAGUUAGUUGGUAAGGUAACGGCUUACCAAGGCAGCGAUAGGUAGGGGUCCUGAGAGGGAGAUCCCCACACUGGUACUGAGACACGGACCAGACUCCUACGGGAGGCAGCAGUGAGGAAUAUUGGACAAUGGGCGAGAGCCUGAUCCAGCCAUGCCGCGUGCAGGAAGACUGCCCUAUGGGUUGUAAACUGCUUUUACAGAGGAAGAACCACCCCACGUGUGGGGGUUUGACGGUACUCUGCGAAUAAGGAUCGGCUAACUCCGUG